GGCCAGACUCCUACGGGAGGCAGCAGUGGGGGAUAUUGCACAAUGGGGGGAACCCUGAUGCAGCGACGCCGCGUGGGUGAAGGAGUGCUUCGGCAUGUAAAGCCCUAUCGGCAGGGAAGAAGGAGGACGGUACCUGACUAAGAAGCCCCGGCUAACUACGUGCCAGCAGCCGCGGUAAUACGUAGGGGGCAAGCGUUAUCCGGAUGUACUGGGUGUAAAGGGGGCGCAGACGGCAGCGCAAGCCAGGAGUGAAAGCCCGGGGCCCAACCCCGGGACUGCUCUUGGAACUGCGCGGCUGGAGUGCAGGAGGGGCAGGCGGAAUUCCUGGUGUAGCGGUGAAAUGCGUAGAUAUCAGGAGGAACACCGGUGGCGAAGGCGGCCUGCUGGACUGCGACUGACGUUGAGGCCCGAAAGCGUGGGGAGCAAACAGGAUUAGAUACCCUGGUAGA
rnacentral:rRNA from 1 species